UACAUCACUUCAAAAUCUUCAAUAUUGAUAUGAUCACUGUGUAUAAAAUCUGGGGAAAAAAAAAUCCUAAUAAAAAUGCGGGACUUCAUCUACCUCAUGUCUACCUUAGGACUUUACAUGUAUAUAAGCUAUUAGGAAAAUAGCAUUGACUGUUUGGGAAGAGUCAAAUUAUGGAUGAUAUGUAAGGCAUGAUAUUAUCUGGUAGUUUUUUCUUUUUGUUUCAUUUUCAUUUUAAUCUAAUCUUCUGACUUGGUGCUUCUUCACUUUGGGUUUUGAACCUCCUGUAUCUCAGAAGUUUUACAAGUCCCUUUCCCAGUGCUUGUUUCUGGUUAAAAGUUCACACCAAUGCUUCUAGUUUACUCAGAGUACAUUUUUCCAGACACAGCAUGAACUAUGAAUCCUAACACCAAAUUUCCUUUUAAACUUGCAAGUACUAGGGCCCCAAGCGCACUAAUAUGUCUCACCUGGGCCCCCACCCACAGCCCUGCCCACAGGCCUGGGGACUCAUUUAAACUCAUCUCCGGAGUGUUCCCUCUUUUCCUGGGUUCUGCUGGUGCUGUGCUGAUAUCCAGCCCUUUCCUUGAGUGGUUCUUUUUUUUUGUUAUUAUUUUUUUCCACCCUCUGGGUAUUGGUCAGGCCCUAUUUUCUUGCCUUUGCUUGAUACUUGCCAGAAGGUUGGUAGGACCUGCUGCAGUUGCUGGGGUGUCCUAGCUGCCCCUGGGGAAAAGCCCUGUGCUUGUGAACCCUAGAAAGCAGCUUUCUUCAGGAACAACAAAGCUGCCAUCUUCAAGGGUGAACCACAUGAGACCAGGAGAGAAUUUUCUGAGCAUCUUCAUCCAGAAUGCAGAAUUCACUUCUAAAUGAAUGGCUGAAAUGAAGAGACAUUGAACUCCUUCAGACUUCAACAGCAAUGGGUUGAAAUAGUGAACAUGAUGUUCAUUGAUGAACAGUUAUAAGACCUCUUUCUGUCUACUGCCUAUACAAAGUAGUAUUUAAAUCUUUCCAGUAACAAAAUGAAGACAGAUAUAAGGAAUGUAUCAAGACUACAGAAGACACAUUGCAGCCUAUUCUACUAUUAAACUGGAGUGAUAUGAAACAAAACCAAGGGAGAAGAUUAAUAUCUGUCAACUUCAUAAUGUGACCCAGUUAUUAGAAGACAUCUUUAUUCUCUUGGACAGAAUGCAAGGAACACCAUUUCUCUGUUCAUUGAGUCUUUCUUCUACUGCCUUUUUCUGAUUCCUGCAUAACUUCUACAGUGUGACACAGCCAUGUGAUUUCUGCUACAUCAUUUUUCUUCUGGUUGUAACAAAGAGAAGAAAUAUUUAUUUUGUGUUACUGGACUUAUGAUGAAAUUUCAAGUAAAGGACAGGAAUGCCAUACUUCUUGCAGUACUGCCUGGAUUCAAGGGCAUGUUGUUUAUUUGUGGGCUUCUGACACUGCUGCUAUCAAGCCUCCUUCAGAUGGGACUUACUCAUGGAUUGGGGUACACAAGAUGCGAUACAGUCCUUUUUUGAGGGGAAGUCCAGAGCAAUUUUGUUAUGUUUGAGAAGCAGACUAUCUUUGAGGAGAGCUUCAUUAACCUGAAGAAAGUGCCUACACCAGGAUUUCUCCUGCUAUAUUUUUGGAGAGCUUGGUGUUUCUCUAGUCUUUUUAGGUUAUGGGAGACCUAUGGCUUCGAUUCCUGUCUUGAGUUUGUCCAACCCUGUUGCAAGAGAGGACUCUUAUUAUCAGUUCUGCGGGGAGAAGUAUUUCAUGUUUAUAUUUUCUUUCAAGAAUGUUACCUACUAGCAUUAGAAAAAAAAAGUGAUUUAUAUAUAGUCUUUGGCUGUGCUGUGGAUUAUUUUAGCGUACUCUGGCUCCCAACCUUAUAAAAGGCCAAAGUUGUUAUAGAUGGGUCUAUUUAAUCUCCUACUGAAAUCAGUGGAAAAACUUCAUGACUUCACGGGGAGUUUAAGUAGCAUACCAAAGUCCAUCUGAGAAGUACUAUGUUGCCUAGUUGAAAUAUACAAAUUAUAUUAGAAUUUGUUGCAAUAUCUGGAUGAUGUUAUAGUCAUGAAAGUUUUCAGUUUAAGUGCGUGCUACCGAAAUUCAGAUUGCAUCAAGUUAUCACCAUUUUUAUUAAGCCGAAAAUACAUAACUUUAAUAAUUAUUGUGUCUUGUUUGACAUUUACUGGAGGGCUUAUUCUGAUUUAGUUUUUCAUUCCAUAGUAGUAUUGUUUUGCAUUAGAGUAUGGUCUUUGCCUCACAAGUACAUAAUCAUUUAAGAAAAAAAAGUUACAUUUAAGCCUUUUUUUUUUUAG